rnacentral:rRNA from 1 species
GACGAACGCUGGCGGCGUGCUUAACGCAUGCAAGUCGAACGGAAAGGCCCUGCUUUUGUGGGGUGCUCGAGUGGCGAACGGGUGAGUAACACAUGAGUAACCUGCCCUUGACUUUGGGAUAACUUCAGGAAACUGGGGCUAAUACCGGAUAGGAGCUCCUGCUGCAUGGUGGGGGUUGGAAAGUUUCGGCGGUUGGGGAUGGACUCGCGGCUUAUCAGCUUGUUGGUGGGGUAGUGGCUUACCAAGGCUUUGACGGGUAGCCGGCCUGAGAGGGUGACCGGCCACAUUGGGACUGAGAUACGGCCCAGACUCCUACGGGAGGCAGCAGUGGGGAAUAUUGCACAAUGGGCGGAAGCCUGAUGCAGCAACGCCGCGUGCGGGAUGACGGCCUUCGGGUUGUAAACCGCUUUCGCCUGUGACGAAGCGUGAGUGACGGUAAUGGGUAAAGAAGCACCGGCUAACUACGUG